GACAGCCUGCCCUGGGCAGUUGGAGCUCCUGCAGACCCUGCAGGGGCCCUGAGAGGGAAGGGCCAGGCCAGAGGGGGGUGAGUGCCCAGGCAGAGCCAGGGGGCACGGGACCCAAGUGGGCCUUUGUUGUCUGAGGGGGAGUGGGCGAGCCAGCGGUGAGUGUGACCCAGGGAAGUGGCCCUGCUGAUGGGAGACUGAAUCCACCUCAGAGGUACAAGCCUUCCGGAUGAUCCUAGAGACAGGAUGUGAGACAAGAGUCCUGGUAAAAGACGGGAGAAAACAGAAGACAGAAAAGGAAGGAGCACCUCUUGGGAGCAGAGGUUGGUAAACAUUUUCCGUGAAGGGUUAGAGAGUAAAUAUUUUAGGCUUUUUUUUUUUUUUUUUUAGGUCAGAUGGUCUGUGUCCCAAGUGUUCCACUCUGAUGUCUGCCACAGAGAAUGUGUAAACAAGAGAGCACAGCUGUGUUCCAAUAAAACUUUAUUGACAAGACAAGCAUCAGUCCAGAUUUGGCCUGCUUUAGAAAUUAAAAAAGAACGCCUGAGUAUGCCUACUUGAGCAAGGCUUGGGUUUCACAAGCAAGAAUUUCACAUUUUAAAGAUCACCUUCCUUGAUA
rnacentral:lncRNA from 1 species